UACGUAGGGACCAAGCGUUGUUCGGAUUUACUGGGCGUAAAGGGCGCGUAGGCGGCGUGUUAAGUCACUUGUGAAAUCUCUGGGCUUAACCCAGAACGGCCAAGUGAUACUGUCACGCUAGAGUGCGGAAGGGCAAUCGGAAUUCUUGGUGUAGCGGUGAAAUGCGUAGAUAUCAAGAGGAACACCUGAGGUGAAGACGGGUUGCUGGGCCGACACUGACGCUGAGGAGCGAAAGCGUGGGGAGCGAACAGG
rnacentral:rRNA from 1 species